rnacentral:rRNA from 1 species
AUUGAACGCUGGCGGCAUGCUUUACACAUGCAAGUCGAACGGUAACAGGCCGCAAGGUGCUGACGAGUGGCGAACGGGUGAGUAAUGCAUCGGAACGUGCCCAGUCGUGGGGGAUAACGCAGCGAAAGCUGCGCUAAUACCGCAUACGAUCUGUGGAUGAAAGCGGGGGACCGAAAGGCCUCGCGCGAUUGGAGCGGCCGAUGUCAGAUUAGGUAGUUGGUGGGGUAAAGGCCCACCAAGCCAACGAUCUGUAGCUGGUCUGAGAGGACGACCAGCCACACUGGGACUGAGACACGGCCCAGACUCCUACGGGAGGCAGCAGUGGGGAAUUUUGGACAAUGGGCGCAAGCCUGAUCCAGCAAUGCCGCGUGCAGGAAGAAGGCCUUCGGGUUGUAAACUGCUUUUGUACGGAACGAAAAGGUUUGGGUUAAUACCCUGGGCCGAUGACGGUACCGUAAGAAUAAGCACCGGCUAACUACGUGCCAGCAGCCGCGGUAACAC